GAUGAAGAACGCAGCGAAAUGCGAUAAGUAAUGUGAAUUGCAGAAUUCAGUGAAUCAUCGAAUCUUUGAACGCACAUUGCGCCCGACAGUAUUCUGGCGGGCAUGCCUGUCUGAGCGUCAUUUCAACCCUCAUGCCCCUAGGGCGUGGUGUUGGGGAUCGGCCAAAGCCCGCGAGGGACGGCCGGCCCCUAAAUCUAGUGGCGGACCCGUCGUGGCCUCCUCUGCGAAGUAGUGAUAUUCCGCAUCGGAGAGCGAUGAGCCCCUGCCGUUAAACCCCCAACUUUCCAAGGUUGACCUCAGAUCAGGUAGGAAUACCCGCUGAACUUAAGCAUAUCAAUAAGCGGAGGA
rnacentral:misc_RNA from 1 species